GAUCAAAUCAAGCGCGAGAAGGGCGUUUGGUGGAUGCCUUGGCAGUAAGAGGCGAUGAAGGACGUGAUACUCUGCGAUAAGCCGGGGGGAGCUGAGAAUAAGCUUUGAUCCCUGGAUUUCCGAAUGGGGCAACCCACCUGAAUGUAUGUUAUUAUCUGCUCUGCAGUUAAUAAUGUGCAUAACCAGGUACUUAAGGACUGAAUACAUAGGUCUUUAAGAGCAAACCCGGAGAACUGAAACAUCUAAGUACCCGGAGGAAAGGAAAUCAAUUGAUACUCCCCUAGUAGCGGCGAGCGAACGGGGACCAGCCGAGACCGAUGAGUGAUUGGAACAUGUUGGGAAGCAUGGCCAUAGCGGGUGACAGCCCCGUACAAUAAGCUCUGAGGUACGUAUUAAGUAGGGCGGGACACGUGAAAUCCUGUCUGAAGAUCGGGGGACCACCCUCGAAGGCUAAGUACUCCUUACUGACCGAUAGC
rnacentral:rRNA from 1 species